rnacentral:lncRNA from 14 species
GUGAUGGUAGGUAAUUUUGGCCAGGGUAAUGAGCAGUCAGAAGUUCCAUGGGCAGUUCUCACAGCACCUCACUUCCUAACCAAUGAGCUAAGCAAGGACACUUCCUGAGAGUGCAGAACAUAUCCUGAAAAAUGAGAUAUUGAUUUAUACAUAUCAAGAUGCUUCAGGGCUUCAAGGAAAGCAUAUCAUGAAGAGGAAACAACUAGAACAACAUUGAAACAUUAACAUGGCAUUGAAGAAUUCCAGACAGAAUUAGGAAAUGAAAAGGUUGGGAUUCUCAGAGCAAUAUCAAGUCACCAUUAAGUAUGCAGAUCUUACUUGUGGACCGCAUAUAAAAUUCACAAUACUCUGUGUAUGCAGUAUUGUUUUGCUCUGUGAAGCAAAAAUAUCAAGUAUGCACAAGCUGUUUUAAAAGAUCAUCUAACAUUAUCAGCAUCAAAUUUUAUAUGCAGCCCCAUUUUAUUCCUGGUUUUUGAGUUGCCAUUGUCACAAAACAAAACUAGACAAAAUUUUUACCAUUCUACAUCAUUUAAAAGAAAAUGCCUAUGGUGAAGUAACUGAGACACAAUUAAAAUGUGCUAAGCCUUACACCAUAAAAGGGGAAAAUAUAUUUAGUACUUGCCAUCUGAAAGAGUUUCAUGAGCACAGGAAAAUUGCUGUUUGGGAACAUGACUGUUGAUUUCUGCAAAAUGUGAAAAGCAAGUCAGUGAAAGCUAUAAUGUAAAUUUGAAAAUAGGAACUUACCAAAGAAGGCCUCAGAGGAAUGGACUGCUUUGUUCCUAGUCACCUUUCAGCUGCUGGUUCUUGAGAUCACCUGUGAUUUGAUGCUAUACGUAUUUUAGUUUCUGGAACAACAUUUCCAACAACACGAGCUGAAAAAAACUUCAGGAAACAGGAAGCAUUGGUUGUGAAAACGAACUAAGAGAAGAUGGAAGGACAUGAAAGAGAAGAAAGUCAGCCAAGCCUCUAAAAAUGGGAACAAAGGCACUGCAUGUUUUCAAACAAAUAUUUCAGAGUCAGGGCCACAGAAGAACCCAAUCUGGGACUUGUGCUGGGUUGCAGAACACCAAGCUCCAGUUGCUAAAAAGAAUUCAUCAGUGAGAAGGAAAAUGCAAUUUGUCAUAAAUGACUUAACACCAGUCACCAAAUGCUUCAGAUAAAUGAAAAGGAACACUACAAGAAGCAAAUACAACAGGUCAGCACUGCCACGUAAGAUUUAUAUGAAAUUUUAUGGGAAUCGAAAACCUCAUUUAAAAAAUAAAUCAUUAUCAUUGUAAUUCA